CCCCGAGGGCACCCGCAACCACAGCGGCUCCAUGCUGCCCUUCAAGCGUGGGGCCUUCCACCUGGCCGUGCAGGCGCAGGUGCCCGUGGUCCCCAUCGUCAUCUCGUCC